GGGGCUAAUACCGGAUAACACAUGGAACCGCAUGGUUUCAUGAUGAAAGACGGUUUUGCUGUCACUUAUAGAUGGACCCGCGGCGUAUUAGCUAGUUGGUAAGGUAACGGCUUACCAAGGCAACGAUACGUAGCCGACCUGAGAGGGUGAUCGGCCACACUGGAACUGAGACACGGUCCAG
rnacentral:rRNA from 1 species